GCCCGCUUGGCUCAGCGGUAGAGCGUAAGUUUCAUCGAUUAGAACUCGGCUAUACUCCGUAUAACGUACUAAAGUCACGAUAGGCAUCACUAGUAAUGAUGAGGUCGUCAGUUCGACUCUGGCAGUGGGCA